rnacentral:rRNA from 1 species
GACGAACGCUGGCGGCGUGCUUAACACAUGCAAGUCGAACGGAAAGGCCCUGCUUUUGUGGGGUGCUCGAGUGGCGAACGGGUGAGUAACACGUGAGUAACCUGCCCUUGACUUUGGGAUAACUUCAGGAAACUGGGGCUAAUACCGGAUAGGAGCUCCUGCUGCAUGGUGGGGGUUGGAAAGUUUCGGCGGUUGGGGAUGGACUCGCGGCUUAUCAGCUUGUUGGUGGGGUAGUGGCUUACCAAGGCUUUGACGGGUAGCCGGCCUGAGAGGGUGAACGGCCACAUUGGGACUGAGAUACGGCCCAGACUCCUACGGGAGGCAGCAGUGGGGAAUAUUGCACAAUGGGCGGAAGCCUGAUGCAGCAACGCCGCGUGCGGGAUGACGGCCUUCGGGUUGUAAACCGCUUUCGCCUGUGACGAAGCGUGAGUGACGGUAAUGGGUAAAGAAGCACCGGCUAACUACGUG